AAAGGGAGACCUAAUUCAGGUAGGAGACGAAAAAAAAGUAGUCGCUACCAAGAAUCAAUCCCAAAAGGUCGGAGCGAGGCGAAAUUGGCUUUCAAACUAGGUUCUGGGUUCAAACAAGACCUGAAUCAGGAACAAGGGCUAUUAGCUCAGGUGGUUAGAGCGCACCCCUGAUAAGGGUGAGGUCCCUGGUUCGAGUCCAGGAUGGCCCACCUGCACAGGUGGCAAAAACAAGAGAAGCGAGGAAUCAGCACCUUAUCUUACUUAUAUAGUAAGAGAGAAUGCUGGCUCUGAGUAAAGAGUCCAGAGGAACCUUGAAAACUGCAUAGAGCUAGGUGAAAAAGCCAAAAAAGAAGACCGCAAG
rnacentral:tRNA from 1 species